rnacentral:rRNA from 1 species
AGAGUUUGAUCCUGGCUCAGAACGAACGCUGGCGGCGUGCCUAACGCAUGCAAGUCGAGCGGAUGAGUGGAGCUUGCUCCAUGAUUCAGCGGCGGACGGGUGAGUAAUGCCUAGGAAUCUGCCUGGUAGUGGGGGACAACGUUUCGAAAGGAACGCUAAUACCGCAUACGUCCUACGGGAGAAAGUGGGGGAUCUUCGGACCUCACGCUAUCAGAUGAGCCUAGGUCGGAUUAGCUAGUUGGCGAGGUAAAGGCUCACCAAGGCGACGAUCCGUAACUGGUCUGAGAGGAUGAUCAGUCACACUGGAACUGAGACACGGUCCAGACUCCUACGGGAGGCAGCAGUGGGGAAUAUUGGACAAUGGGCGAAAGCCUGAUCCAGCCAUGCCGCGUGUGUGAAGAAGGUCUUCGGAUUGUAAAGCACUUUAAGUUGGGAGGAAGGGCAGUAAGCUAAUACCUUGCUGUUUUGACGUUACCGACAGAAUAAGCACCGGCUAACUUCGUGCCAGCAGCCGCGGUAAUA